rnacentral:lncRNA from 1 species
AAACAACCGUGACAACUGACCCAGAGAGAGACAAACAGAGCAAAAGAAAGACAAACAGAAAGCUUCUUCUUCUUUGUCAGUGAAGUUCCUUCCUGCUCCAAGCCUUGGCUAGGUCCUGAAGCAUCAGCGGGUGGAUUCUGAGCAUGGUCGUGUCAGUGGCCCAGAUGCAGAGACAGAGGAUAAGGGGGCGUGGGGUUCUGCCUCGGCGCCCCCUCCAGAGAACCCCCUGGCCCCUCUGGUCCUGGCAUUCGUGUGUCCAGAAGGGGUGCCCACCUGAACCGUCAGCACCGAGUUUGUAGUGAACAGGAGGAGAAGGAUUAAGGCUGCAGUGGAAGACAGAUCUGCACGUUCCAGUGACUGUUCUGAAGCUUCGUGGCCUCGAAAGGCGGCCUUGCUCUUCAAGCUUCUUCCCGCAUCCCGGCCAGCGCUCACUCCUGGCUUCACCUGGACUUGAGUCCCCUUCAUCCUGUGUGGCCCUCCAAGACCGUGCUCCUGCUCAGCACAACUUGUCCCUGAGACCCAGUAGAAGGUGUGCCCAGGGAGGCCCCUGCUGUUCUGGUGCAGCAGCCCUCUGCCCUGUGUGUGCGUCCUGGCAUAGCAGGUCUCAGCCGCUAGGAGACGAGUGAUCGCAAUCACCGCUGGCAGGGGUGCUGCUGUGUUCUCGUGGCUUUUUGCAAUUUGCCAUCUGUAGGAGAGAGAUUGAUUUUUAAAAAUAAACAGGCUUUGUGUAAAAUGUAUACAUAUGUAUGGUCCCAUUAA